UAAUCGCGCAUCAGCCAUGGCGCGGUGAAUACGUUCCCGGGCCUUGUACACACCGCCCGUCAAGCCAUGGAAGCUGGGGGUGCCUGAAGUUCGUGACCGGAAGGAGCGACCUAGGGCAAAACCGGUGACUGGGGCUAAGUCGUAACAAGGUAGC
rnacentral:rRNA from 1 species